rnacentral:rRNA from 1 species
AUUGAACGCUGGCGGUAUGCUUAACACAUGCAAGUCGAACGGUAACAUAAGAGAGCUUGCUCUCUUGAUGACGAGUGGCGGACGGGUGAGUAAUAUAUAGGAACCUACCUUAUAGUCUAGGACAACUACUCGAAAGAGUGGCUAAUACUGGAUGUGGAUUACGGUUUAAAGCGGGGGAUCUUCGGACCUUGUGCUAUGAGAUGGGCCUAUAUAAGAUUAGCUAGUUGGUGGGGUAAAGGCUCACCAAGGCGACGAUCUUUAGCUGGUUUGAGAGGGAUGAUCAGCCACACUGGGACUGAGACACGGCCCAGGCCCCUACGGGAGGCAGCAGUGGGGAAUAUUGGACAAUGGGGGGAACCCUGAUCCAGCCAUGCCGCGUGUGUGAAGAAGGCCUUUUUGGGUUGUAAAGCACUUUUGAGCGAGGAGGAGAGGGCCCCUAGGUUAACUACCCUUAGGUGCUUGGACCGUUACUCGCAGAUAAGNACCGGCUAACUCUGUGCCAGC